rnacentral:rRNA from 1 species
UACGUAGGGGGCAAGCGUUGUCCGGAUUUAUUGGGCGUAAAGAGCGUGUAGGCGGCUUGGUAAGUCCGCUGUGAAAGUCCAGGGCUCAACCCUGGAAUGCCGGUGGAAACUGUCAAGCUUGAGUCCGGAAGAGGCGAGUGGAAUUCCUGGUGUAGCGGUGAAAUGCGCAGAUAUCAGGAGGAACACCAAUGGCGAAGGCAGCUCGCUGGGACGGUACUGACGCUGAGACGCGAAAGCGUGGGGAGCAAACAGG